UAUCUGUCAUCAAACGUACAUUAGUACAGUUUGUAGUCAACCAAGCACAACUUCUGUGAUACUAAAAUUUUGCCGAUGGCAAUGUAUUAGUACUUUGUUUUCUGAAGAACCAAGUAGGAGCUCUGCCAAAAUACUGUUAAGAAGAGUGAAUGGAGUACUUACUGUGUAUAACUAUGGUUAUAACUAUCCAAAUUUUAUACGUAGAUUUUUCUUUUCAUAUUUAUAAGAUAGAAUCUCCUAUAAGCAAUAGUAUGGACGGAAUUUCUGCUGACUUACAUUUCUAUAAGAUUGAGAUAAUGAUACUACUGCUUAAAUCAUUACACCAAAGGUUGUAUACAAAGUCAAUGCCCCCUCGGUUAUACUGCCGAGAGCAUCCAUCACCAUGAUCAUGGGAGAGCAGGUUAGGCAUGUUACCACCAACAUGAUUUUUAAUGUUUCUUUCUUUGUAAUACUGAUCAUCUGUUUGACAUAGUGCCUAGCCAUGGUGCCAUGGUGCCAUGUGCAAGUCAUUGUUGAGGGCGCAUGGACAGAAUUGCAGAUCAAUAUCUAACACUAUGUGCCAGGUCUAGGAGACCGGGGCAUCCAGAUGAACCUCUUCGAGUUUCACAUCAAAAGGAAGAUAAGAUGAGGCAGCAGCAGAUGGAUUGGGAGCUGCACUUCAUUAGUGCACCAUGACAUAGCGGCAAGGAUCGCUGACAAUUGGUACUCACCAGCCGCCCAGCACAUGCCAAGACCGCAUCUACAACCAUCAUGGAAUAUGUUUCAAGUCGGGAGAAGAUAAC